rnacentral:lncRNA from 1 species
UGCACAUGGGCAACUCAGCUCAGCACCCCGCAUGUACCCAGAACAGAUUCUCGGUACCAUUUUGAAGCAAAGGAAAUUGAAGGAAUACUUGCUCCAUUGUGAAUUACUGCUCUUUCAGAACUAGAAAACUUUGGCAUCAGGAGCAAGGUGUAAUGGACUUUGUCUGGAAAUACAUGCAAAGACACAGUACAUCCCAUGGGCAAGAGUGCAGCCAGCUGCUGGCUUGUCAAAGAAUCACAGAAUCCUAGAAUGGCAUAGGUUGGAAAGAACCUUAAGGAUCAUGGAGUUCCAACCCCCUGCAGUGGACAGGUGUCAGUCCAUGUAGGAUGGCUGUGGGAUUUGGGGCUCUGGGCAAUGCUGCUGGCCUGCAGGGAGGGGCUGCAUGGGACCAGAAAAUACAGUCUGCACCCAAUGCAAGAGCAGAUCCCAUCCCUGUCUCCAUGCACACACAUGUAGGCAAUGGCUUGUGCACAACCUGUGCUCUGAACUGCACUUCGAGAACUGAACGUGAAGCUUGUUUGGAGGCUAUCAGAUCCUUGGUGUGCUCGUUUUUAGCUCCUUAUGGGCUGCAUCAAGUGGAACAAACUCGUUUGAGGGGAGGGACUUGGGUGCACAGGGAUCUGUGGGAUUGCUUUAUGUGUUUAGUAGAGCUUAGAUCCUAUUUUUAAACAAAGCACCAUUUCCAUUCCCUCUGUUUUUUCCCCUUAAAUAUUUAGAAGGGAUUAACUACAGAAA